rnacentral:rRNA from 1 species
ACGGGAGGCAGCAGUGAGGAAUAUUGGUCAAUGGACGAGAGUCUGAACCAGCCAAGUCGCGUGAAGGAAGAAGGUUCUAUGGAUUGUAAACUUCUUUUGUCUGAGGGUAAAGUGAGAGAUGCGUCUCUUAUUGCAAGUAUCAGACGAAUAAGCAUCGGCUAAUUCCGUGCCAGCAGCCGCGGUAAUACGGAAGAUGCGAGCGUUAUCCGGAUUUAUUGGGUUUAAAGGGAGCGUAGGCGGUCCUUUAAGUCAGCGGUCAAAUGUCAGCGCCCAACGCUGGCCUGCCGUUGAUACUGGAGGACUUGAAUACACACAAGGAAGGUGGAAUUCGUCGUGUAGCGGUGAAAUGCUUAGAUAUGACGAAGAACUCCGAUUGCGAAGGCAGCCUUCUGGAGUGCGAUUGACGCUGAGGCUCGAAAGCGCGGGUAUCAAACAGGAUUAGAUACCCUGGUA